rnacentral:SRP_RNA from 1 species
GGCGCAUGUUUGUAGUCCCAGCUACUCGGGAGGCUGAGGCAGGAGGAUCGCUUGAGCCCAGGAGUUCUGGGCUGUAGUGCGCUAUGCUGAUCGGGUGUCCACACUUAAGUUCGGCAUCAAUAUGGUGACCUCCUGGGAGCGGGGGACCACCAGGUUGCCUAAGGAGGGGUGAACCGGCCCAGGUCGGAAACGGGGCAGGUCAAAACUCCCAUGCUGAUCAGUAAGUAGUGGGAUCGCGCCUGUGAAUAGCCACUGCACUCCAGCCUGGGCAACAUAGCGAGACCUUGUCUCUA